GACGAACGCUGGCGGCGUGCUUAACACAUGCAAGUCGAACGGAAAGGCCCUGCUUUUGUGGGGUGCUCGAGUGGCGAACGGGUGAGUAACACGUGAGUAACCUGCCUUUGACUUUGGGAUAACUUCAGGAAACUGGGGCUAAUACCGGAUAGGAGCUCCUGCUGCAUGGUGGGGGUUGGAAAGUUUCGGCGGUUGGGGCUGGACUCGCGGCUUAUCAGCUUGUUGGUGGGGUAGUGGCUUACCAAGGCUUGGACGGGUAGCCGGCCUGAGAGGGUGACCGGCCACAGUGGGACUGAGGUACGGCCCAGACGGCUACGGGAGGCAGCAGUGGGGAAUAUUGCACGAUGGGCGGAAGCCGGAUGCAGCAACGCCGCGUGGUGGAUGACGGCCGUCGGGUUGGAAACCGCUUUCGCCUGUUACGAAGCGUGAGUGACGGUAAUGGGUAAAGAAGCACCGGCUAACUACGUG
rnacentral:rRNA from 1 species